AUGGCCAUGAGGGCAGAGUCUGGAGAAGGUUUGGGGCUCACACUCCCUUCCAAGCCCAAGGCCACCCCCCAUGUCUUCCCACUGAGUCUCUCGAGUGCCACCCAGGAUGGAACUGUGGUCGUCGGCUGCCUGAUCCAGGGCUUCUUCCCACCGGCACCUGUGAACGUGACUUGGAUACACAAUGGUGAUAGUGUGACUGUCAAAGACUUCCCUGCCAUCAAGGCUUCGUCUGGGGAGCUGUACACCAUGAGCAGCCAGCUCACGCUGCCAGCUGCCCAGUGCCCGGACACCUCAGCCCUCCAGUGCCAUGUGCAACAUUACAACAGCCCGGACCAGGUGGUCAGGGUGCCCUGCAAAGUUCCAAAGCCAAACAGCUGCUGCCAGCCACACCUGUCGCUGAGCCGGCCAGCCCUGGAAGACCUGCUCCUUGGCGCUGAUGCCAAGCUCACCUGCACACUGAGUGGCCUGAGAAAUCCUGAGGGGGCCACCUUCACCUGGCAGCCCUCCAACGGGAAGGACGCCAUACAGGGGUCACCUGAGCAUGACUCCUGCGGCUGCUACAAAGUGUCCAGUGUCCUCCCUGGCUGCGCAGAUCCCUGGAACCGCGGCCAGAUCUUCACAUGUUCAGCGACUCACCCCGAAGCCAGAAACCUGCCACCGAUCAGCAUCUCCAAAGACUCAGGGGUCACAAUUCCGCCUCAGGUGUAUGUGCAUCCGCCCGCGGCUGAGGAACUGGCCAUGAAUGAGCUGGUGACGCUCACCUGCGUGGUACUUGGCUUCAGCCCCCGGGACAUGCUGGUACGCUGGCUGCAUGAGGACCAAGAGCUGCCCAGCAGUGACUUUCUGACCUGGGAUCCCCUCCAGGAACCAAAGACCAGGAAUCCCCUCCAGGGUACCCCCACCUACACCGUGACCAGCCUGCUGCGCAUUUCGGCUGAGACCUGGAAAAGGGAAGAUAACUUCUCCUGCAUGGUGGGCCAUGAGGCCCUGCCGACGUCCUUCAUCCAGAAGAGCAUCAACAAGUUGGCUGGUAAACCCACCAAUGUCAACGUGUCUGUGAUCAUGUCUGAGGGGAAUGGCGUCUGCUACUAAGCCCCAGCACUGCUCCUCAAAUAAACCAGAAAGAGCCCUUC